UGGCACCCUAUGUGUGGGGUCUGGAUACAUGAGGAAGAAGAUUCAGGUGGCCAGAGUUGUAUAUAGAAACAUAUAAAAUAUUGGGAGCCUGCUGUACAUGAAAUGAAGGUGAGUGAUAGAGUCUGAUUAUAGGAGAUGGAAUAAGCCAACAUGAGGUCUAUGUGAGACAGUUAAAAUAGGCAUUAUAGGUGCGGGGAGUAAAGGUAAACACCAAUGAUUUAUUUUAUUUUAUUUUUAUUUUGUUAAGGAUCUUUGCCCCU
rfam:Rattus norvegicus chromosome 6, whole genome shotgun sequence.